rnacentral:rRNA from 1 species
CAAUAGCGUAUAUUAAAGUUGUUGCGGUUAAAAAGCUCGUAGUUGGAUUUCUGCUGAGGACGAUCGGUCCGCCCUCUGGGUGAGUAUCUGGCUCGGCCUUGGCAUCUUCUUGGAGAACGUUACUGCACUUGACUGUGUGGUGCGGUAUCCAGGACUUUUACUUUGAGGAAAUUAGAGUGUCUCAAGCAGGCGCACGCCUUGAAUACAUUAGCAUGGAAUAAUAAGAUAGGACCUUGGUUCUAUUUUGUUGGUUUCUAGAGCUGAGGUAAUGAUUAAUAGGGAUAGUUGGGGGCAUUCGUAUUUAACUGUCAGAGGUGAAAUUCUCGGAUUUGUUAAAGACGGACUACUGCGAAAGCAUUUGCCAAGGAUGUUUUCAUUGA